rnacentral:tRNA from 1 species
GCACCUGUAGCUUAACGGAUAGAGUAUCGGCCUCCGGAGUCGAUGAUGCGAGUUCAAUUCUCGCCAGGUGCG